CAGGAUUCCCCUACUUUCCCCCGUGGAAUCCUUUGAUCAACAAUUUCUUAUAGCUCUCUUGUCAUUAUACAUCUUGCCACCCAUUCGACCAAGUUUUCCUAUGACUCUAACGCAUAAUCCUAAGGUUAAAACGAAAUCCAAUAAUGAAUCUGGAAAUAAUUUUCUAUGACAAAAGAAGCAAACCUGUAGGUGGCUCAAUGAAGAAGAACAUCUUUCUGGUUCAUUACUCUUUUUCUGACGCUGUUAUUGACACAAGCCUAAAAUUCCCAUUACUUGGAACUCUUAUCGAGUUCUUAUACUUAACUUCCAGUAACUAAAACAACUUCUAAUGUGAAAAAUACCUUUAGUUGGAUCUGUUACUACUAAGUUCAAGUGGAAGGGUGUACUAUAAUUGAGACCAAAAGUUAGACUUUAAGGGCAAUUAUAACAAUUCCUGGUAGUUAAAAUAGAUGAUCGAAGCAAUGCCCAACAGUUAAUAUUGGCACCUAAAACCAUUCUAAUUGAUAGAUCAAUCACUCAUGAACUUGCAUAUAUGUAGUUAAUAUCAGCCCUGUCUGAAGUUUUCCUGGUAGCUUUAACUCGCAAUAUGUCUUGCCGGUCUUGGCCACCCAUUCAACCACGUUUACCAAUGACUCCAAUGCCCAAUCCUAAGGUUAAAAAGAAACCACAUAAUGAAGUUGGGAAUAUUUUUCUAUGAUAAAAGCAUCAAACCUGUAGGUGGCUCAAUGAAGAAAAACAUCUUUCCGGUUCAUUACUCUUUGUCUGACACUAUUAAUUUUCACAUCACAUACUUCUUGCUAAAUUUUCUUCAACUACCUGACAUCUUCCCAUUCUCUUGUACGGCUUUCUUAGGUGGAUACUGCUCAGUUACCAUCUUCAACGGCACAGGAUUCCUGCAAUGUAUGCCCAAACAGCAGAUCCCGCACAACAAUUUCCGCCAAAGAAGUGUCCAGUUAUUGUUCUACCUCGAAGCCCCAUAGACCUGAUGUGCCCGACCAUCUCACAAUUGCGGAUUCAAUAUCUGAGAAAAAAAUGGGAACAACUGAGAGACCAACUUUAUGGAGGAGUUCUCAAUCAUCCCACAAACACAGAAUGACUCCGCAUAUAUUUGUUACUGUAUUAAUUAAAAAUUAUAAUAUUACAUGUAUUAUCUCUUCUGAUGACCAGAACAAAAUUCAACUAUAGCUAUUAUGGGAGUUAUAAAGCUGGAAGCGAACAAGCUAAAUAUCCUCAAGGUAGCAACAAUCAGGACACAAAGUAGCAGUAUAUUGAGGAAAUGAAAACCCCUGCUAUUUUUACAUUUAUUUUCAUCAUUUCGUAAUAUUAUUUAAAACUCCAAUUACAUUUGUGGCAUUUGAUAUAUAGUUUAUGAGACAACAAUAUCUACAAGGCUCCCGCAGCGAAGAUAUCAAAUUAAUCAUUUCUACAGCCUGUUACUUAUUUAGUUGGAUUUCCCACCAAUUAAUGUAUGAAUAAAGAUGAUCUAAUAAAGGUAACUCGGUUGUCUUUAUGUAUUUUACGUAUCAAUAUUUGUCGUCUUGGUUUCUACAAUAGAUCAUUAUGCAUUAAUACCAAA